rnacentral:rRNA from 1 species
GUAUAAGAGACAGCAGUAGCCGCGGGAAUACGUAGGGUGCAAGCGUUAAUCGGAAUUACUGGGCGUAAAGCGUGCGCAGGCGGUUAUAUAAGACAGAUGUGAAAUCCCCGGGCUCAACCUGGGAACUGCAUUUGUGACUGUAUAGCUAGAGUACGGCAGAGGGGGAUGGAAUUCCGCGUGUAGCAGUGAAAUGCGUAGAUAUGCGGAGGAACACCGAUGGCGAAGGCAAUCCCCUGGGCCUGUACUGACGCUCAUGCACGAAAGCGUGGGGAGCAAACAGGAUUAGAUACCCCGGUAGUCCCUGUCUCUUAUAC